rnacentral:rRNA from 1 species
AGGAGUUGGAUCCUGGCUCAGGACGAACGCUGGCGGCGUGCUUAACACAUGCAAGUCAAGGGGGCCCAGCAAUGGGCAACCGGCGAACGGGUGCGUAACACGUGAGCAAUCUGCCUAGAUGUGGGGGAUAGCCGGCCCAACGGCCGGGUAAUACCGCAUACGCUCUCCUGGUGGCAUCACCGGGUGAGGAAACUUUCGAGGCAUCUAGAGGAGCUCGCGGCCUAUCAGCUAGUUGGUGAGGUAAUGGCUCACCAAGGCUUUGACGGGUAGCUGGUCUGAGAGGAUGGCCAGCCACAUUGGGACUGAGAUACGGCCCAGACUCCUACGGGAGGCAGCAGUGGGGAAUAUUGCGCAAUGGCCGAAAGGCUGACGCAGCGACGCCGCGUGGGGGAUGAAGCAUUUCGGUGUGUAAACCCCUGUUGCUCGGGACGAACAACUGGUUUUGACCAGUCUGACGGUACCGGGUGAGGAAGCACCGGCUAACUCCGUGCCAGCAGCCGCGGUAAUACGGAGGGUGCGAGCGUUGUCCGGAAUCACUGGGCGUAAAGGGCGCGUAGGCGGUCUGCUAAGCGUGCGGUGAAAGCCUGGGGCUCAACCCCAGGUCUGCCGUGCGAACUGGUGGACUAGAGCACUGUAGAGGCAGGUGGAAUUCCGGGUGUAGCGGUGGAAUGCGUAGAGAUCCGGAAGAACACCGGUGGCGAAGGCGGCCUGCUGGGCAGUUGCUGACGCUGAGGCGCGACAGCGUGGGGAGCAAACAGGAUUAGAUACCCUGGUAGUCCACGCCCGUAAA